rnacentral:rRNA from 1 species
UAGCCGUAAACGAUACUCGCUAGGCGUCGGCCACGGUGCGACCGUUGUCGGUGCCGUAGGGAAGCCGUGAAGCGAGCCACCUGGGAAGUACGGCCGCAAGGCUGAAGCUUAAAGGAAUUGGCGGGGGAGCACCACAACGGGUGGAGCUUGCGGUUUAAUUGGAUUCAACGCCGGAAAUCUUACCGGGACCGACAGCAACAUGAAGGCCAGGCUGAAGACUUUGCCGGAUUAGCUGAGAGGAGGUGCAUGGCGUAGACGUCU